GGGGGUCCCCGGUGCCCGGACC
rnacentral:miRNA from 14 species